rnacentral:lncRNA from 1 species
UCCAGGUGCUGGCACCACACGACGUUUUCCUCAGAGGAAGGCAGCAGCGCAGCGCCGUUGUCAACCUUUUCUGAAGGACACAGGAAUGGUGCUCAGCGAUGUCCUGCGCUAUGGCGCGCACCUGCUCCAGGAUCCCCUCCUGGGCUGCUGCCGUCCGCUCUGCCGCGACAGCGAGGCGGGUUGUGGAGGCCUCGAUUCUGCGUAGCACCUGGAAUGAAUAAUCAUGGUGGAACUGUUCGCAUCAGUUGCUGAUUACUCGCAACCAGCUCACGGCUGGAAGCUGCUGUUGUGAAGAAUUGCAACGUGCACAACGAUUCCCUCUCUGCUGAAGAGCCACUGGCCUGAUGGCAUUCUUUGGCAGUGUCAAGCGUCGCGUACAAGCUAUACCCUCUUCGUUUGGACAAACAAAGACCUGCUGGAACUACUCUUCCGUCAUCUAUUCUAAUGCAUCUCUCACCACCAAACAGCCCUUUUCUGGGCUAACCAACCUUUCGUCCGGCGGCUGAUCGUUGGCAAGAUACGUUACCGAGCCCUCUAUACAACGCAUAUUUCUUGUUUAAAUCCCAAGCUGAUUUGUUUUUCAGAUUCAUGAUUUACUUAUAACAAAGCAUAAAGAAUAUUUAUGUCCUUCAUGUAAAAUGACACCAAAGGGCCUACCAACCUGCAGCACCUCGUCGCCCUGUUCCAGGCUGCGGGCGCACUGCGACGGCAUCGUCGUCAAAGUAUCCACCCGUCGCGGUCGCUGUCGACGUGGUGGCCGAACAGGCUGCUGCAACACUGAAAGCAUACAGCAUUUUCUACAGUUGCACUGCAUUUUAUGGUACGAAUAAAAGUGGCUAUGGCCAUGUUAUGGCUUAUUGGGCUAGUUCAAUAAAAUACAAGAGCUCAUUUUA